CCUUUGUACACACCGCCCGUCGCUACUACCGAUUGAAUGGCUCAGUGAGGCCUUCGGACUGGCUUAGGGAGGUUGGCAACGACCACCCCGAGCCGGAAACUUGUUCAAACUUGGUCAUUUAGAGG
rnacentral:rRNA from 1 species